rnacentral:rRNA from 1 species
UACGGAGGGUGCGAGCGUUGUCCGGAAUCACUGGGCGUAAAGAGCUCGUAGGUGGUUUGUCGCGUUGUCCGUGAAAACUCACAGCUUAACUGUGGGCGUGCGGGCGAUACGGGCAGACUGGAGUACUGCAGGGGAGACUGGAAUUCCUGGUGUAGCGGUGGAAUGCGCAGAUAUCAGGAGGAACACCGGUGGCGAAGGCGGAUCUCUGGGCCAUUACUGACGCUGAGGAGCGAAAGCGUGGGGAGCGAACAGG